rnacentral:tRNA from 1 species
GCCUCCGUGGCGCAAUCGGCUAGCGCGUUCGGCUGUUAACCGAAAGGUUGGUGGUUCGAGCCCACCCGGGGGGA